AAAAAGAGGGCUGGGGAAUGGUGUGGGGCAGCCUGGGGGGACAUGGAUGUCACCCCACUCUGCUCUGAUGUCUAGGGGGAGAGCUGUGGAGGUGGCUCAGUGCCUACACCUGUGGGCUGGUGUGCAUCUCCUCCAUCCUGGCUGGCACUGCUGGGAUCCUCUGGAUGAGAGAAGAAGGCCCAUCUAUUGCUGUCAUAGUGCCAGAGAUUUUCCUGUUGUAUGUGAUUGUGAUCACCUUUCUAGUGGCCUUUACUGUGACGUUCCAGCCUACGAAGCUCAUCCAGCUCAAAAGCACAGCAGGUGAGCUGUUCAAGAGAGGCAAGAACGGAGAUAAAACCAAAUGAUAAGGGGGUUUA
rnacentral:lncRNA from 1 species